GGGAAGGUGGCUCAGUGGUAGAGUGCUUGCCUUGCAUGCAUGAGGCCCUGGGUUCAAUUCCUCAGCACCCU
rfam:Dipodomys ordii contig_6096, whole genome shotgun sequence.